UACGUAGGUUGCGAGCGUUAUUCGGAUUUACUGGGCGUAAAGAGCACCGAGGUGGCUUCUUAAGUUGGAUGUGAAAUCUCCUGGCUUAACCGGGAGGCGCCAUUCAAAACUGGGGAGCUUGAGGUCAGCAGGGGAAGGUGGAAUUCCCGGUGUAGUGGUGGAAUGCGUAGAGAUCGGGAGGAACACCAGUGGCGAAAGCGACCUUCUGGGCUGCACCUGACACUCUAGUGCGAAAGCGUGGGGAACAAACAGG
rnacentral:rRNA from 1 species